GGGUCGAUGCCCAAGUGGUUAAUGAGGACAGACUGUAAAUCCAUUGGGAAUAUGCCUACGUUGGUUCAAAUCCAACUCGACCCA
rfam:Picea glauca, whole genome shotgun sequence.